AUUGAACGCUGGCGGCAGGCCUAACACAUGCAAGUCGAGCGAGCGGCGGACGGGUGUGAAAUGUCUGGGAAACUGCCUGAUGGAGGGGGAUAACCACGGGAAACGGUAGCUAAUACCGUAUACUAUCAGAUGUGCCCAGAUGGGAUUAGCUGGUAGGUGGGGUAAUGGCUCACCUAGGCGACGAUCCCUAGCUGGUCUGAGAGGAUGACCAGCCACACUGGAACUGAGACACGGUCCAGACUCCUACGGGAGGCAGCAGUGGGGAAUAUUGCACAAUGGGCGCAAGCCUGAUGCAGCCAUGCCGCGUGUGUGAAGAAGGCCUUCGGGUUGUAAAGCACUUUCAGCGAGGAGGCGUUACUCGCAGAAGAAGCACCGGCUAACUCCGUGCCAGCAGCCGCGGUAAUAC
rnacentral:rRNA from 1 species